UACGGGGGGAGCAAGCGUUGUUCGGAUUUACUGGGCGUAAAGGGCGCGCAGGCGGCUCUGAAAGUCAGAUGUGAAAGCCCCGGGCUUAACCUGGGAACUGCAUUUGAUACUCUAGAGCUUGAGUACGGGAGAGGAGAGUGGAAUUCCCAGUGUAGAGGUGAAAUUCGUAGAUAUUGGGAAGAACACCGGUGGCGAAGGCGGCUCUCUGGACCGUAACUGACGCUGAGGCGCGAAAGCGUGGGGAGCAAACAGG
rnacentral:rRNA from 1 species